AACGACUCUCGGCAACGGAUAUCUAGGCUCUCGCAUCGAUGAAGAACGUAGCGAAAUGCGAUACUUGGUGUGAAUUGCAGAAUCCCGUGAACCAUCGGGUCUUUGAACGCAAGUUGCGCCCGAGGCCUUUAGGCCGAGGGCACGUCUGCCUGGGCGUCACGC
rnacentral:rRNA from 1 species